UUAAUUUAUGUUACAAAAAAGGUUUCUCUUACGAUUUAACUAUUUUACUAAUUCAUACAAUUUAUAGAAAUACAUACGUGUUAUCUAUAUAUUUUGUCUAACUUGACCUCAAGACUAUGAUGUCAGUAAAUUAUAUUAUGCCUUAUAGUAGGGGAGGAAAGUAUGCUAAAUUUGCAGUCACUCGAGCGCUUUGGGGACCUAUUGGAUUGUGAUUAUUAGGUCCUAAAACCAAAAAAAGUUAAGUAAAUUUUUUUAUUUUAGUGGGGACUUUCCAUUUUUUAAUUUAAUGUUCCAUUUCCAACAAUCGUUUUUUUUUUUCGUUUAUAGCGCCAUCUAUCCAUAAUUCGAAAAAAUGUUUCGAGUAAAAGUUACUUAUUUUUACGUAAGGAAUCCAAAUCUGCGAUAAAAAAUGGGGCUCCUAUUUAAGAUUUUAAAGUAACCCCCCACCCCACCUCCGUGGGGGGUCGUGUUGUAACGGUCACGUUACGAAAUUAGCUCUUUAAUUAUCAUUAUAAUUAUUUUCCCUCGGUCUCCAUUUAAAUUCUCUAAUUUCUCGUAUAGGACUACUGAGGUGACGUCAUACCUCGGUGAUGGAACGUACUCUACCUAUCGAGAAUUAUUUCCUGUUCUGAGAGAAUUUGACGUUCACCUUGGCGGAGAAACGUCUCUCGUUCGUCACUUGGUUUGUGGCUGCUAAGUGGGUUGGUUUGGUACUUGGUACUGGUACCAUGAAAUGGCGGAUGAGUUCCAUACACCCUAUUUUAUAACAUCGAUCCAGUUUUUAAAGUAAAAAGUUACCAGCAAGGGUUGUCUGGAGUUAGGGAGACAUGUGUGUGACAACUCCUGUUGGAGCCUAAUAGGAAUCAUUCGCCAUUUGGAAGAAACCCUAACAUGAAACCGUAGCCCUUUGACCACCUAGGGAAACCACUGCAGCCACGGCCAAGUCACCAUUGGGAGUAUGUCUAUUUGGGAGCAAGAUAUGGGAGCGUUCCAGCUCAAUUUUCGUCUUGGCACCUGGGCCUACAGGAGUCAUGGGGUCGCACCAUCCUGGUGCAUCAUUUUCUAUGAUGCAACCACAACCUCGUUUGGGAACAUUUAGUGAGGUGUUUUAGUAACUAUUGGUUUUUUUUAUAUUUCAGACUAUCUGUUAAAUACACUAUGUUUUUUUCCAGAUUUAGGUUACCUCUGGUUUUUUUUUUUGACAUAUUUGUAUAUUAGAUUAUUUGGUUCCCAAACUUUGUAUCUACGGUAACUUCUUGUGCACAGGAAUAAGCCUAGAGAAAAUUAGGUUUUUAAUACUUUAUUAUUGCUUUGAUAUUGGUUUAUGUAAUUCGGGUAAAUUUAUAUUUUAAUAUUACUAGCUUGUUUCCCAAAUAUUUUACUGUUAUUCGCUUUAUUCCGUUUGUUCGGUUAAUUUAGGUCAUCAUCGGUAUUUAUCUCAACUUCAUUUCUACUUUAGUCAAUUGUAUAUUUAACUUUAUUUAUUCAUUAUUGUAUUUUCCCUUAGUGAGGCUUGGGCCUAUUUAUUUGUAGUAUUUUCAUCUUUGUCAGUUUCCUUUAGUUGUACGUAGCGGGCGUACUAUAACCAUUUGGUAGAAGACUUAUGUAAUUUUGUACCCUAUAUGUUAGUGAGAGGUACUUAUACCUGUAAUUUUGUAACAGAUAACAUUAUUGUUGUUAUCUUAGAUAUAACUUUUGUAUAACUUAUGUCAUUUUAGAGUCACAUGAUAUGCACUUUAUGUAGGUAACUCAGAGAUUGUCAAAGAUCUAGCAGUUAUUUUUAAUAAAUAUUUAUUUAUUUUGUA
rnacentral:lncRNA from 1 species